GGAAGUGUGGCCGAGUGGUUGAAGGCGCACGCUUGGAAAGCGUGUGGGCCCGCAAGGGUCUCGCAGGUUCGAAUCCUGUCGCUUCCGCCA
rnacentral:tRNA from 1 species